AGUGAACGCUGGCGGUAGGCCUAACACAUGCAAGUCGAACGGCAGCACAGUAAGAGCUUGCUCUUACGGGUGGCGAGUGGCGGACGGGUGAGGAAUACAUCGGAAUCUACUUUUUCGUGGGGGAUAACGUAGGGAAACUUACGCUAAUACCUCAUACGACCUACGGGUGAAAGCAGGGGAUCUUCGGACCUUUCGCGAUUGAAUGAGCCGAUGUCGGAUUAGCUAGUUGGCGGGGUAAAGGCCCACCAAGGCGACGAUCCGUAGCUGGUCUGAGAGGAUGAUCAGCCACACUGGAACUGAGACACGGUCCAGACUCCUACGGGAGGCAGCAGUGGGGAAUAUUGGACAAUGGGCGAAAGCCUGAUCCAGCCAUACCGCGUGGGUGAAGAAGGCCUUCGGGUUGUAAAGCUCUUUUGUUGGGAAAGAAAAGCAGCAGGUUAAUACCCCGCUGUUCUGACGGUACCCAAAGAAUAAGCACCGGCUAACUUCGUG
rnacentral:rRNA from 1 species